UGGUCAAGUUAUUAAGGGUGCAGGGCGGAUGCCUUGGCACUAGGAGCCGAUGAAGGACGUGAUAAGCUGCGAUAAGCUUCGGGGAGUUGCACGUAAACUUUGAUCCGAAGAUUUCCGAAUGAGGAAACUCACUUAGAGUAAUGUCUAAGUAUCAUUAAGUGAAUACAUAGCUUAAUGAGGGGAACUCAGGGAACUGAAACAUCUAAGUACCUGAAGGAAGAGAAAGAAAUUCGAUUCCGUAAGUAGCGGCGAGCGAACGCGGAUUAGCCCAAACCAAUAAAGUUUUCUUUAUUGGGGUUGCGGACAUAUCAUAACGAAGAGGUAUCGUAAUUGAAGAGGUUUGGAAAGACCCACCACAGAAGGUAAUAGUCCUGUAUGUUAAACGAGAAGACUUUAGAUAUGAUCCAGAGUACCACGGGACACGUGAAACCCUGUGGGAAGCAGGAGGGACCACCCUCCAAGGCUAAAUACUACCUAGUGACCGAUAGCGUAUAGUACCGUGAGGGAAAGGUGAAAAGAACCCCGGGAGGGGAGUGAAAUAGAACCUGAAACCCUGCACUUACAAGCUGUGGAAGCACAUUUCUUGUGUGACCGCGUACUUUUUGUAGAACGGGCCAACGAGUUACGUUAAGUAGCAAGGUUAAGCACUUAAGGUGCGGAGCCGUAGCGAAAGCGAGUUUUAACUGAGCGUUCAGUUACUUGACGUAGACCCGAAACCGGGCGACCUACCCAUGAGCAGGAUGAAGCGAAAGUAAAAUUUCGUGGAGGUCCGAACCCACGAGCGUUGAAAAGCUCGGGGAUGACUUGUGGGUAGCGGUGAAAUUCCAAUCGAGCCCGGAGAUAGCUGGUUCUCCCCGAAAUAGCUUUAGGGCUAGCCUCAAGGUGAGAGAUACGGAGGUAGAGCACUGAAUGUCCUAGGGGGUAUUGCACCUACCGAAGACUAUCAAACUCCGAAUGCCGUCAUCUUAUACUUGGGAGUCAGACUGUGGGUGAUAAGAUUCAUAGUCGAAAGGGCAACAGCCCAGAUCGUCAGCUAAGGUCCCUAAAUGUAAGUUAAGUGGUAAAGGAUGUGGGAUUGCACAGACAACCAGGAUGUUGGCUUAGAAGCAGCCACUCAUUCAAAGAGUGCGUAAUAGCUCACUGGUCGAGUGAUCCUGCGCCGAAGAUUUCCGGGGCUAAAACUUACUACCGAAGCUACGGCAUCAGUAAUGAUGGGUAGGGGAGCUUCCCAUACGGGUUGAAGCAUGACCGUAAGGACAUGUGGACAGUAUGGGAGUGAGAAUGUUGGCAUGAGUAGCGAGAUGUGGGUGAGAAUCCCACAGGCCGUAAACCCAAGGUUUCCAGGGGAAGGUUCGUCCGCCCUGGGUUAGUCGGGACCUAAGCUGAGGCCGAAAGGCGUAGGUGAUGGACAACAGGUUGAUAUUCCUGUACUACCGAUAACCGUUUGAGAGAAGGGAUGACACAGUAGGAUAAGCUAAGCACACUGUUGGUUAUGUGUGCCCAAGCAUUGAGGCAGUCAAAGUAGGUAAAUCCGCUUUGAUAAUGCUGGGAUGUGAUGGGGAGCGAAAUUUAGUAGCGAAGUAGCUGAUUUCACACUGUCAAGAAAAGUCUCUAUCGAGGUUAAAGGUACCCGUACCGCAAACCGACACAGGUGGGUGAGGAGAGUAUCCUAAGGCCAGCGAGAGAACUGUUGUUAAGGAACUCGGCAAAAUGACCCCGUAACUUAGGGAUAAGGGGUGCCACCAUCAGGUGGCCGCAGAGAAUAGGCCCAAGCGACUGUUUACCAAAAACAUAGGUUUCUGCUAAGUCGCAAGACGAUGUAUAGGAGCUGACGCCUGCCCGGUGCUGGAAGGUUAAGGGGAUCUGUUAGAGCAAUCGAAGCAGUGAACUUAAGCCCCAGUAAACGGCGGCCGUAACUAUAACGGUCCUAAGGUAGCGAAAUUCCUUGUCGGGUAAGUUCCGACCCGCACGAAAGGCGUAACGAUUUGGGCACUGUCUCAACAACAGACUCGGUGAAAUUGUAAUUCCGGUGAAGAUGCCGGAUACCUGCGACAGGACGGAAAGACCCCAUGGAGCUUUACUGUAGCUUGACAUUGGGUCUUGGUACUACAUGUACAGGAUAGGUGGGAGGCUUUGAAACCAGGACGCCAGUUUUGGCGGAGCCAUCCUUGGGAUACCACCCUUGUAGUACUGGGACUCUAACCAUAGGCCAUGAAUCUGGUCUUGGGACACUGUCAGGUGGGCAGUUUGACUGGGGCGGUCGCCUCCCAAAAGGUAACGGAGGCGCUCAAAGGUUCUCUCAGUACGGUCGGAAAUCGUACGUAGAGUGUAAAGGCAAAAGAGAGCUUGAUUGCAAGACAUACAGGUCGAGCAAGGAUGAAAAUCGGACUUAGUGAUCCGGUGGUUCUGCGUGGAAGGGCCAUCGCUCAACGGAUAAAAGCUACCCUGGGGAUAACAGGCUUAUCUCCCCCAAGAGUCCACAUCGACGGGGAGGUUUGGCACCUCGAUGUCGGCUCAUCACAUCCUGGGGCUGUAGUAGGUCCCAAGGGUUGGGCUGUUCGCCCAUUAAAGUGGUACGCGAGCUGGGUUCAGAACGUCGUGAGACAGUUCGGUCCCUAUCCGUCGCAGGCGUAGGAAAUUUGAGAAGACCUGUCCUUAGUACGAGAGGACCGGGAUGGACGUACCUCUGGUGUACCAGUUGUCCUGCCAAGGGCAUGGCUGGGUAGCUAUGUACGGAAUGGAUAAGCGCUGAAAGCAUCUAAGCGCGAAGCCAACUUCAAGAUAAGAUUUCCCACCGCAAGGGUAAGACCCCAGAAAGACUAUCUGGUUGAUAGGUCGAAGGUGUAAGUGCAGCAAUGUAUUUAGCUUAUCGAUACUAAUAGGUCGAGGACUUGACCAAU
rnacentral:rRNA from 1 species